rnacentral:rRNA from 1 species
ACUCCUACGGGAGGCAGCAGUGGGAAUAUUGCACAAUGGGGAAAGCCCAUCGAUGCAGCCAUGCCGCGCUGUGUGAAGAAGGCCAAUUCGGGCUUGGUAAAGACACUUUCAGUAGGGAGGAAGGUAGUGUAGUUAACACCUGCAUUAUUUGACGUUACCUACAGAAGAAGCACCGGCUAACUCCGUGCCAGCAGCCGCGGUAAUACGGAGGGUGCGAGCGUUAAUCGGAAUUACUGGGCGUAAAGCGCAUGCAGGCGGCCUGUUAAGUCAGAUGUGAAAGCCCGGGGCUUAACCUCGGAAUUGCAUUUGAAACUGGCAGGCUAGAGUCUUGUAGAGGGGGUG